AACUUGCAGAUGUUGUACUUGAAUGAUAACUCUUUGACUUUGAAAUUGAGCCAUGAUUGGGUUCCUCCUUUUCAACUGAAAUCGUUAAGUCUUGCCUCUUGCAAGAUGGGACCUCAUUUUCCAAAAUGGCUUCAAACUCAAAAUCAACUUAUCUCCCUUGAUGUCUCCAAUAAUGGAAUCUCGGAUGCUGUCCCUGACUGGUUUUGGGAUCUGUCCAUUGAACUCGUUCUUUUAAAUCUCUCUAACAACCAGAUCAGGGGUAAACUUUCUAAUUUGUCUUUUUUAAGAUAUGAUGAUAUUGUUAUAGACGUCAGUUCAAACCACUUUUGGGGCCCAAUUCCACCACUUCCUUCAAAUUCUACGUUAUUGAAUCUCUCAAAAAAUAAGUUCUCAGGAUCAAUUACUUUCUUAUGUUCUAUUAUAAAAAACACAUGGAACUUUUUUGAUCUCUCGAGUAACUUAUUAUCUGGAGGGCUUCCAGAUUGUUGGUUGAAUUUUGAUAGCUUAUCCAUUCUUAAUUUGGCAAACAAUAGCUUCUCCGGGAAAAUUCCAGACUCGAUGGGCUUCCUACAUAAUAUCCAAACACUGAGUUUACACAACAAUAGGUUAACUGGGGAAUUGCCUUCAUCUUUAAAGAAUUGCUCACAACUGAGAGUUUUGGAUCUUGGGGAGAAUGCAUUGUACAGUGAGAUACCAACCUGGAUAGGGGGAAGUCUUCAAAAUUUGAUUGUUCUUAGCUUGAAAUCUAAUAAUUUUCAUGGAAAUAUACCUUUGCAGUUAUGCCAUCUGGCAUUAAUUCAAGUCCUGGAUCUCUCUUUAAACAAUAUAUCGGGAAAUAUACCAAAAUGUUUCAAUAAUUUCUCAGCCAUGACCCGAGAAAAAAGUUCCAAUCCUAUCAUUGGGUUGGCUGAUAAAAUCUGGAUUCUCCCUAGAUAUGUAUAUAUGUAUAGUUAUUUGGACAAUGUUCUGUUGACAUGGAAAGGAAGUGAACACGAGUACAAAAGUACUUUGGGACUAUCGUACAACAACUUGUCAGGAAAAAUCCCAUUAGGCACUCAACUCCAGAGCUUCAAUGCUUCAGUGUACGCUGGAAAUCUUGAACUUUGUGGCUUUCCACUCGCAAAUAUGUGUCCGGAUGAAGAAUCAGCUCCAAGUCCAGGCACAGACGAUGAUUCAGACACUCUAGAAGAUGAGGACGAUCAGUUUAUAACUCUCGGAUUUUACGUGAGCUAUUCACUGGAGGGUCUAUCUUUAGUUGCCAAUGAUAUCACUGGGCCAUUACCUGAUCUUGUAGGGUUUUCAUCCCUAAAAACAUUAACACUUGGAGAAAAUCGAUUAAAUGGAACAAUAAACAAAAGCCUCAGCCAGUUGUUGAAGCUCGAGUCUCUGUCACUUGGUACGAAUUCAUUCACAGGUGUUAUCUCUGAAACUUUUUUUUCCAAUAUGUCCAACUUGCAGAUGUUGUACUUGAAUGAUAACUCUUUGACUUUGAAAUUGAGCCAUGAUUGGGUUCCUCCUUUUCAACUGAAAUCGUUAAGUCUUGCCUCUUGCAAGAUGGGACCUCAUUUUCCAAAAUGGCUUCAAACUCAAAAUCAACUUAUCUCCCUUGAUGUCUCCAAUAAUGGAAUCUCGGAUGCUGUCCCUGACUGGUUUUGGGAUCUGUCCAUUGAACUCGUUCUUUU
rnacentral:lncRNA from 1 species